UAUAACCUGACGGAAUGGAUAAGUCCUGUAUUUUUUGUCAACAAGGAAGGAGUCAAGUGAGUCUGAAUAAUAGUAGUUGAUAACACACGUCUAAUCAAACGUUCGUUACAUGCAUUUCCAACAAGUGAAGCUAUAAUAAGGAGAAUCAAGCCUUGUACUAAUUUGUUUGUCAAAAUGGAUUGUGUUCGUGGGUAUUUCUAAAUCUCCUUUGAGGAGGGGAGCAAGAACCUCACGAUGUUUCUUCCACCAAAUGGUAAAUUUCGAUUUACCUAUGGGCUUGUAUGUCAGUUUGGAUGAAUAGUGCUUUUAUUGUUAUCCUAUAAUUGAAAAUUUCUCUGAUAUUAAGAAGAUAGUUGACAAGAUCCUUAUGCAAGCACCUGAUGAAGAAACUCGAAUUUCAAACAUUAUUAGAAUGUAGAAAGAAAAAUUUAACCCUUUCCAUCAAAAUUUGUUUAUAGAGAUACCAAAAAUAUUUUAAGUUUAAGAUUUGUCAUGGAGCUUAUCAAACAAGUCGGACAAUUUGUACCGGAUUUGAUCCACAUGACUACUAAUUGAAGAUCAUUGCUGAAGAAAUAUUGUAGAUUUUUAUGCUUAGAAGAGCACACAGAUUAUUUUGAACAAUUUAAAAAAGUGUUGCUUAGUUCAAGUACAGUGGAACUUGAGUGCUUCGUGAUGGAAUUGGCAGUAACUCCUUGUAAGUAUUACUUGUACGGUUCAAUUAAAUUUCUUAUUCCUAGUAAUCAUCGUCCACUUGUUGGUUUGUUCUAAAUAGCAAUUAUGGAUAUUUCAAAUAAACCCCUACAAUAUUUGAGGGAGAAAUUAACUCAUUACAACUUCGAACUGGAAUGGGUAUCAGGUAAAAUGUCAUAAAAUCGUGGACGCUUUUGUCAAGAACUCCGGUAUUUGACUCACCUAAAGAGUGGGAUGAGGAGUUUAAGGAUAAUACAGUAUUAUGUGUACAGAUCUUAAUGUCCAACAAUUGAUCAACGUAGUAGUAAACGACAGUGAAUUUCAAAUGAUAUUAUAGAUAUACAGUCUGGGAAAAGAAAUGAAGGAAUUUCUAAUCAACUACCCAGCAAAACAACUCUCGGUAAUUUGGGAUCAAGUAUCUCUAUUUGAUAACGAUGAAUACAAAAUCCUCAUUUAUAAGAACAAUCGUAUUAUUGUUUCUUCCGCCAAGCCAAAAAGAAUCUUACAAUUACUUCAUAUACUUUAUGCAGAAAUUGUGAAGACAAGGAAGACGACCAACACCUCUACUUUUGCCCAAAUAUCAUCAAUGAUAUCAAAAACAUGAUAGAGAGAUGUGACUCUGUCAAAAGUUUUUAUUAAGUAAGCCAGAUGAGCCAUGAUCAUUCAUUCAGAGACCAAAUAUAUAGUCACUUCCAUGCUUCCGAUCUCUUUGAGUAAAGGGGUGUUCACUAUCUUCUAUUGGUUGAUAGACUCAGUAGUUUUCCUUUUGUAGCUAAAUUAGAUUCGUUGUCUACAGAUACUGUUACAAAAAUUAUAUUGACAUGGUUUCAUUUGGUUAUUCGUAUUGAUGGAGGAACAAAGUAUAGAAGUGAAUUUGAUCAAGUCAGUGAAAAAUAUAUGACUAUCCAUGAGAUAAAUUCACUGCAUAAUCUUCAAAGUAAUGGUUUAGUAGAGCAAGCAGUCAAGUCAAUCAUCAAGAAAACAAAUAAGACAAAUAUAGAAUCGAAUUUAUUUGCUUGGAGAAAUACACCCAGGGCAGAUGGAUUCAGUACGGCACAAAUGAUGAUCAGUGUAGGACAACCCAGUUAUUUGGCAAAUGAAAAAAUCGAUUCGAAUUAUGUUAAUGUGGGUUACUAGUUAUACGAGCAAAACUAUAUUUGCUCUACUAUAGUUAUAUAAACAAAACGGGAACUACAUCCAUUACAGCAUUUCAAAAAAUAUCUUUCAACAAACAAUCUUUCAUAUGUAUACCGCAAAAAUCAUUUUUGAAUGAAAGAUUCCUAUUUCCGGGUCUCCCUUAUUUCUCACAUUUAAGAUAGUCUUAACAAAUUCAUCAUUUUUCAACGUUCCCUUCCGACUAAUAUUGACUUGCAGCAUUACAUUGAUUUUCUUAAUUACAACCUCUGCUCAUUCAUUAGACUGCGGAAAAUAAGCAGAAAAUAUGCAGUGGGUGAUCUCAAUUUUAUUCGUUGACUACUAUAUGAUCAUAUAAACCAGACACCUCUGACUAUUUUAACAAUCUUUAACGCAUUUGAUACAAAGAGUCAACAAUCUUAUUAUAAAAUUAGAUUUUUUAAUUUUUUUAUUAUUACUAUUUAAUUAAUAUUUAAAAAUCUGAAACAAUUAAAAUCCACAUUUAUCUAAAAUAUAUGUAAGUAAAUGAUUGACACUUAAACUUUUGCUGAAUGUACGAAGGAUAUACACUUCUCUUUCGUUCUGAGUCUCGGCAGAGUUAAUCAUUAUUCAGCAUACACGUACGAGUUCUAUGAUACCAAUCAUCUCGUCAUUUCUUAAAUCUUCUUCCACGGUUAAUGGGUACUGGUGAAUGAAUUCAUAUGUACAACACUGUGGAUAUAAUAUGUUUCCAAUAUCAUUUUAACUUGUGGAAACCCAACAUUGGGUAGAGGUUGAUACGAACAUGUAUUACAGUUAGAUAUUCCAUGACUGUAAAUUACCUAUUCUCUCAUUAGAAGAACAUUCCAUUUAACAGCUUCAAAUAGACACAUUUAGCAAAUUUUUCAUUAUUUUCCUUCACUACCACAGCCUUUACUGGAAUUGAAAAUAACCUAUCAACUACUUUCAGCUGCUUUGAUAGAUCUAUUGAUAAGUAUAGACUUCUAGUUUAUGGACUUUCACAGACCAUUGUUCCACUGUUCCUACUCUUAUCUCUACUCUCUGUUGAUAUGCAAAGUAAAACAGCACCCUCCAAAUUAAUUCUCCCCCCCCCAUUCACUACCAUCGAUUGGUUUUGACCUUUUAUAAGGUCUUGCAGCUGUAAAUAGGGUUUGAAAAAAUCUUAUCUUCCUCACAGACAAAGUUGAGCCCCCGCUUCAACUAUUGCAUGGAUCAUGACUGGAACCAUUUUAGGAUAUUUGUGUUUUUGACAUUUUGCUGAAUCUGUUGAGGUCCACGAGCACAUGAAGUCGAUUAAUUAAAUAAAAUCAUGAAUAAAAAUCCUCUUGAACAAACAAUAUAUUUCAAGAUGGAUACAUGGUAAAAGAGUAGUGAAAAAAAAUAUAUUACUCGCACACUUAUUAAAUAAUAAGUUAUCUUACUAAUAAUUAAAAUAUAAUUAUGUAAACAAAGACUCCUUAAAGAGGCUGUAUUGAAAACAUAACUCAACUCUAUUUAGAAUGUAUUCUAUGUCAAAUAACCUGUAAGACUCCUAGAUAAAGUUAUAUGAUUAUUCAAUCUCUAUUUCGAGAUAUAACACGUCGUUACCUUCAUUGUAUCACGCAACCUUUAUUUGAUAGAAACCGAAAAAGGAACCAAAUUGGUAAGCCCAUCCUGACAACUGCAACUUAUCCCCAAAUUACAAUGAUUUUCAUGUUAUUUCUACAAAAUUUAAAAUGAAUUGCACAAUCAAUAUAUUCAUAAUAUUAAAAUCCUAUUUGUAUAUGAUAACCAAAAUUUCCACCAAAAAGGGUAAAAAACGAGCAAGUUUUGAGGAAUUAAGCGGUUGCUCCCAAAUCCUAGGUAUAUAAAUUAUUUAAUAUAAAAUAUUAUGCUGUCAGCUAUUCAAUCCCUGGCAGUCAUAUCGGAAAUUCACCGUGUAAAACAAACAGAUUUAUUUAGUAUGGAAAAAUUUCAACAAGAAUCUACCUAUUUUAGCGUUCGUGUCAAGAGUUCAAAGCAAAGUGUGUGUAACAGGAUGCUAUCUUGUGUAAAGACGUAGUUGUUCCUGGAGAAUAUGAUCUUCAACAAUGACAAGACCUGGUACCUAAGGACCUUGUCUUAGAUGUAUGUGCUGGGUAACAUAUUGAAUGAAAGUAGUACAGAGCACCUUUUUUAGAUAUUUUGUUUAAACUAACUUUAUCACAAAACCUCUCGUUUAAAUUUUAUUCUUGAAUAUGAUAAAUUGUGUAACACAAAGUAAGAUCAACCCUGCAUAGAGUAAUAUUUUUGUGCAAUAAACUGCCAAUUUCGAUUACAGACUAUUUAUUUGUGAAGUAAAUAUAAAUUCCGUAAAUUCUUCAUCAGACAUGGAAAUAACCCUGUCAUCAUGAUGUUUGAGGUCACCCUCAACAAGACUUCCACAACGCUUUAUACAAAAUUGUUGGUACUUUUGAGUAACCUCUCCUUAAAUCUCUUUAACUUCCGCAGCAGCCAUGAAUACUAUAAACACGGUAUUCCUACUUUCCUUACAGAAAAUCUAAACACCUAUUGGGAAAAAAAUCGACCAGAUGCUGUUAAAUUUGGCUAAUCUUGGCCAAAAUUGGCUGAUUUGGCAUUAGAGAUAGAAAGGAACAACCAUGUGGGCUGAAAAAAAAAAUAGAAAAAACACACCUUCAAAUUAAUUGAUUAUCUUAAUCUAAAAAUCGAGUUAUUGAAAACGGUCCAUUAUUCAUUAAAAUUGUAUGAAAAAAUAUGACUCCUUAUGAAAAAACUCGAUUUUUUAAAAAAAUAUUUUUUUUAAACUCGAAUGUUCAUAACUUAAUUACCACUCGAAUCUCAAAUUCGACUUGUGACACAUCACUAGUACUUAGUAAUAUGUUGUGAAACUAUUGGGGUAUCUCAUAAUUAGUUUAAGAGCAAAGAAUCAUUUUUUCUUAAGACCGUCGAAUCUCGGAACACUGAGGCUGGGAAAUAUAAAAAGAGGGAUUUGUACAGAAUUUGAAGUCCGUCACUGUCUUUACGACUUUGGGUCUAGAAUUCUUGUCCGUUGUCGAUGUCUCCUUCUAUUCAGUCAUACAUUUCAUCCAUCCUCCUUAUUGAUUUGGUGUUUAAGGUCGUAAGGAAUCCAGAUUCUGUCAUUAAAGGGGAUUAUAUUCGUCUUAUGGGUUAGGCUCUCAUCUUGCAACUCUAUCAAACCUCUUUCAGCCGAGUCCCCUUCCCGUGGGUCUGUCAAAACAAUCUACGAAGAAGACUGUCUGAUUUCAAUCAAACCCAUUAGGAAAUUAAAUUGAAGGAUUUUUCUGUGUUAACUCCUAUGCCUUGCCAUCAUCCAUUUUAUCAUUCAAUCCAAUACCAAAUAUACAAUAUAUGUAGUCAACCUAUAUGUAUUGUAAUUACUAAUUUGUAUUGACAGUCAUUUGUUAGGAUGCCAAUAAAUUACCAUAAGCCUUCUUCAUCAAAUACAAGAUACUAAAUAAGUAGAGACUCCUUGGGAAAUUGAAUCUAAGAAAAUAUCAUGUUACUUCGUCACUCCCUGCAUUAAAGAACAAGUCAUGGAACAUAAUUAUAUAAAAUGAUAAUUGGUAAUCAAUUGUAAACAUGUUUUCAGUUUCGUUCCACUCACAUAUAGUGAGUGUUGUAAUUGAUAAGAAGAAAUAAAUCAAUUCAAAUACCGACUAUCUACAAGGAUUGCUUCAAGCAAACAAUUUUUAUAAUUAAAUGUAGCUCAAAACUUUUAUAAUAUAUUUUUUGAUGUAAUGAUUUAAUUUAACUGAAGUAUCUUUACUUCAUUAAAAUAGAACCAACAACAAAUUUAA
rnacentral:lncRNA from 1 species